rnacentral:pre_miRNA from 1 species
AGAGUGAUUGCUGGAUAGUAUGGUAGCAGUGUUUGUUUUUAUAAGAAACUGCCAAACUGUCAUCCAGAGUGACUGUACCAUGUUUUCAUUGCCCGUAGCAGU